CAACUUCCUGGUAGAAAUAUUGCUAUGCAGGAAAACCUCAGAUGCCUGUCUCUUAAGUUUAAACCUAUGUAUAACAAAAAGGCCUUCAUACACCACUACACUAGAGAGGGCUUAAGUGAAUCCGAAUUCACUGAAGCACAAGAAGAUUUAAAUGAUUUGAUUUCUGAUUAUCAGAGUUUUCAGGAUUGCGGAAAAGGGGAGGAAAAAAAAAAAUCUAAAUCAAACAAAAAGCGAGUUGGCAAGCAAUUCAAUCUAGGUUAUGGCAAGACCAGCUCAGGGAAGGGCCCUGAGGGUCAUCAAGCCAGGACAAGAACCAUGGGGGUUGGGAUUACAGCAGGACCAAUUCCAAUUUCGACUAAGAACUUCGCAGAAAGCUACUUAGAGCAGAGAACUUACAACGCGGCGCCAUAUGCCAAGACCAACUCAGGGAAAGGCCCCGUGGGUCAAGCCGGGGCAAGAAGCAUGGGGGUUGGGAUGUCAGGAGGACCAAUCCCGAAUAAGAACUCCGCAGACAGCUUCUUAGAGCAGAGUGUCCAUGCUAUUAUGCUGCUAUGGAUUAUUUUCUGUUAUGGGGUAAUAUACUAGGGUCUGAAAUUACGACGCGGCGCCAUAUGCCAAGACCAACUCAGGGAAAGGCCCCGUGGGUCAAGCCGGGGCAAGAAGCAUGGGGGUUGGGAUGUCAGGAGGACCAAUCCCGAAUAAGAACUCCGAAGACAGCUUCUUAGAGCAGAGAGCAUCUCAGAAUGCAAAGAAAUAUUCAAGAGACGGAUCUCUCAGAGACAAUGCUUCAAAGACGACUACAGAACUUGGACCACCACCACCACCUAAUAAUGGGGGAAAGCCAAGCACUUCAAGGAAAUUUAAGCCCCCAAAUGAAACAAGAUCAGACACUAAUCAACCAAGAAAGGUGAACUCCAAAGUGAAAUCUUGUAACAAACCAGAAGUAGUAUAUAAUUGCUGUAUCAGCAGUUAUUUAUUCGUCUCAAAUUAAGAUCUUCAGAAGGAACUAGAAGCUGGAGAGACAGUAAUUCCUUCCUCUACAGUGUGGCUUAAGCUCUAUGAAGAUGGAAGAACAGUGGAAAGGCCAAAAAAAAAAGUUGACAAUUGUUGCAUCGAAGGGUAAAAAAUUGUCAACUUGAUAAUGCAAAGACUAAAUACAUAGUACUGGAAAAAGGUAAAUUUUUUUCUCACUUUGAUGAAACUCACAUUUCAUUCAAGUCAAUAAUAAAACUCUUCUCAAAAGAACGUGAACCCAUAAGAUCUGGACACCUUCAUCAGACUAUAAGAAAUCUACUUAGAAGUUCUCUGUGACUUUUUUACUUCCAUUGGGUCUGAAAGUCCUCAUUGAGGAAAUAAUGAAGAUAUGCUAGAAAGAAAGAUUGCUUCAGAAUUGCAGAAAUUCCCAAAUGGAGGUGGAAGAUAGAAUAUGACUUCAUAUCAUGCCAUAUGUUACAAAAGCUUAUGGAAUAUAUCUAGGAGUUGGAGAUAAGCUUGCUUUGAUAGCCUAGGAGCUCACAGGAUUCAAAUCCCACUGAAAAUUCUUGGGUUAAAAAUCAAAGGUAGGCUUGGGAAAAUGGACUGUUUAAAAAGGUAUGCUUAAUAUCAAGUAAUAAAGGUGUAAUUUUAUGAUGAAGAA